rnacentral:lncRNA from 1 species
UUUAAUGCACUAUUCUUUAAACAAACUUGCAGACUACAGGGCCACAGGUAAUGCAAGCAGUUAGGAAUUUCUUUGCAUCCACCAAAAUGCAUAGACCAACAAACUGUGCCUCCCUUACUCUGAUUCCUAAAGUUCCCAACCCAUAAACAGCAAAGGAAUUUAGACCAAUAGCCUGCUGUUCAGUUGUCUAUAAAUUUAUUUCCAAAUUGCUGGCCAACAGAAUGCAAAGAGUUAUAGCCAGCAUCAUAUGCAAUGC